rnacentral:rRNA from 1 species
UACGUAGGGUGCAAGCGUUGUCCGGAAUUAUUGGGCGUAAAGAGCUCGUAGGCGGUCUGUCGCGUCGGCUGUGAAAUCCCGCGGCUCAACCGCGGGUCUGCAGUCGAUACGGGCAGGCUAGAGUUCGGUAGGGGAGACUGGAAUUCCUGGUGUAGCGGUGAAAUGCGCAGAUAUCAGGAGGAACACCGAUGGCGAAGGCAGGUCUCUGGGCCGAUACUGACGCUGAGGAGCGAAAGCGUGGGGAGCGAACAGG